rnacentral:tRNA from 1 species
CAUUUAAGAGCUUGUAACCUUAAGCAUUUGGCUUUUAACCAAAAGAAAAUAAAUUAUUUUAAGUGA